AUUUACAUAAUAUAACUAUUAUAUUUGAUUUCCAAUCAAAAAAUCUAAUUUAAUUAGUGUAAAUA
rnacentral:tRNA from 1 species